ACGAACGCUGGCGGCGUGCUUAACACAUGCAAGUCGAACGGAAAGGCCCUGCUUUUGUGGGGUGCUCGAGUGGCGAACGGGUGAGUAACACGUGAGUAACCUGCCCUUGACUUUGGGAUAACUUCAGGAAACUGGGGCUAAUACCGGAUAGGAGCUCCUGCUGCAUGGUGGGGGUUGGAAAGUUUCGGCGGUUGGGGAUGGACUCGCGGCUUAUCAGCUUGUUGGUGGGGUAGUGGCUUACCACGGCUUUGACGGGUAGCCGGCCUGAGAGGGUGACCGGCCACAUUGGGACUGAGAUACGGCCCAGACUCCUACGGGAGGCAGCAGUGGGGAAUAUUGCACAAUGGGCGGAAGCCUGAUGCAGCAACGCCGCGUGCGGGAUGACGGCCUUCGGGUUGUAAACCGCUUUCGCCUGUGACGAAGCGUGAGUGACGGUAAUGGGUAAAGAAGCACCGGCUAACUACGUG
rnacentral:rRNA from 1 species